AAGCCUCUGCGGCAGUUUCCUGAUCUUCUGGAUAUGCUGCCACGCUGUCCCAGGGCUGGUGGUGUCCCCUGACUUGUUCCUCUCCUGACUUUCUCAGCCUGGAGACUGAAAGCUCUCUUUGGCUGUUGGCCCUCCCAGGCAGAGUCCACUGGCUGUUAGGGUGAAAUGGGGCUGAUGCUUCCUGGAAUCCACCAGAAGUAUGCAAAUUGCACCAUCUCUUUCAGCUGCCUGCGCCUGCAUUCCAUCGAGGAUUCCGGAGGCUGAGUGACUUGGGCAAUGAUUCAGCAAUACCAACUGUGAACUCUCAAUGACUUGGGCUAAUGAGAAGAAUGACAUGGAUAAUCUAAAAAUAAUGGACAACUGGAAAAAACAUCAGCCUGCUUGUGGAGCACACCAGGUCAUGAUUUCUGCAGUGGGGGAGGAGCUGAUUUGCUUCAUUCAUUCUAGAACCUCUAUUCUAGCUGAUGUUAAAUCUGGUUGUUUUUGAGAGCACUCAUAGCCAUCAUGCCCAUCUCUGUAUCACAGGGGUUUGGGAAAAGAAACUCUUCUGGCCAAGGAUGGAAGAAUAAAAACAUAACUGAGUUCCAGAUAUGCUAAUGUUUUCCACUAUUGCAUCUCUAAGAUAUCAGUAGGACCUGGAAAGGUGGCAAUGACCUCAUGGCUCCCAGGUGCUGGGGUUGCUGCAAUGGCUGGAGCUGAGAAAAACUUGAAGGUUUUAGAGAAGCUCUGCUUCCAAAUGAAGGGUGCAGAGUAAUUAAUGCCCCAAGCUACAUGGAGUGGCCAAUUGAAGAAGCUAUAAAAGUUGGAGCAGUGCAGGAAGCAACAUGCCUGGGAAAGGGGAUUUUUUUGCACUUUUUAUUGCAAUAAUGCAGGAACAUUCUAUGAAUAGAAUCCAGGGGAGCCAUCAAGUCCAUGUUCGGGUGACUGUAAGGGGAGGGAUUUUGAUCCUCUUCCGAGACAGCUGUCUUCAGGCUCAGGCACAGAUCACAUUAUUUUAUUAGAGCCUUCAGUAGUUAAGAGAAAGUUCUUGGUUGAAUUGGGAAAGGGACCUAAAAAUAACUGUAAAAUUUUGAGCUAGCUCUGCCCCUUUCUGUACUAGAUACAAUCCUGGAUGUAGAGAAUCAGAGACUUGAGGUUAAGACCUAGCUCUGGCACCAACUUGGACAAGUCACAUCACCUAUCUCCACCUAUCUCCUUCACUGUGAAAUGAGAGGAUUGGAAUAAAUGAUAUCUAAAUCUCCCCUGGCCUCCAUUGUUUCUGCUUUGUGGAUGCCGUUUUAUGGAUUGAGAAAUCAAAGUCUAUUGAUGAAAAUGAUUGCAAUGUGCAGAUUCACUUGGAACACAGAAAGACUCAGAGAGCUGGUCAGUACCAAAGGAGGUUGGAGUGCUUUGCCUUGAAUGCAAGAAAUAACGAUGUGCAAUGUCAUGGAGAAUUUUAAAACAAUAAUAGAUACAAGAAAAA
ensembl:lncRNA LINC02884 long intergenic non-protein coding RNA 2884